rnacentral:rRNA from 1 species
GACGAACGCUGGCGGCGUGCUUAACACAUGCAAGUCGAACGAAGUGGCGAACGGGUGAGUAACGCGUAAUUAACCUGCCCUUCAGAGGGGGACAACAGUUGGAAACGACUGCUAAUACCGCAUACUGAAGGUGGGGAUUGCGUCGGAUGAGGUAGUUGGAGGGGUAACGGCCCACCAAGGCGAUGAUCAGUAGCCGGUCUGAGAGGAUGAACGGCCACAUUGGGACUGGAACACGGCCCAGACUCCUACGGGAGGCAGCAUGGGGGGAUCUUCCGCAAUGGACGAAAGUCUGACGGAGCAACGCCGCGUGAGUGGUGACGGCCUUCGGGUUGUAAAGCUCUGUUAAUCGGGACGCGGUACCGGAAUAGAAAGCCACGGCUAACUACGUGCCAGCAGCCGCGGUAAUUC